rnacentral:lncRNA from 1 species
GGCAGUGGGUGAGGAUUCGGAUGAGGAGGAGAGGAAUAAGGUGAUGGAGUCACUUGACGAGGUUUUGGAGAAGGCUGAGAAAUUAGAGACUAGAAAUGAAAGUGGGAAUGUGAGUGUAAAUAAAGCGACGCUGCCUAAUGUGAGUGCUGAUACAAAAAAUGGUAGACCAAUGAAUUCAGUGGGAGCAAAGAAGAGUAAGACUUUGAAGAGUGUGUGGAAAAAGGGGGAUUCUGUGGCAAGUAUACAGAAGGUUGUAAAGGAAACACCCAAGACUAAGGUAAAAAAAGAGGAGCCUAAAAUGGGAGGAGACAUGAAGAUGGAGUCUCAGCUGAAUAUUCCUCCGAGGCCUGUACAGCCACCUUUGAGACCUCAACCAAAACUACAAACAAAGCCAUCAGUAGCUUCUACACCUGUGAUAAAGAAACCCGUUGUUUUAAAAGAUGUGGGGGCAGGUCAAAAGUUGUCCACCAUUGGUGAAGC